rnacentral:tRNA from 1 species
CAAUAGCUCAGUAGGUAGAGCUCCCGCCUUGUAAGCGGAAGGUCACCGGUUCGAGUCCGGUUC